CAGCCUGCCCAGUGACCCUGUUUAACGGCCGCAGUAACCUAACCGCGCAAAGGUAGCAUAAUCACUUGUUCUUUAAAUGAGGACUAGUAUCAACGGCACCACGAGGGUUUUACUGUCUCCUUUCUCUAAUCAGUGAAACUAAUCUCCCCGUGAAGAAGCAGGGAUAAGCAUAUAAGACGAGAAGACCCCAUGGAGCUUUAAAUCUAGCUGCACCCCAACCUAUUAUACCCCUUUAGCCGGAACCUGCAUGCUAAACUUUAGGUUGGGGCGACCACGGAGCACAACUAAACCUCCAUGAUGAAUGAAUCUACCCUCUUAUCUAAGAAACACACUUCUAAGAAUUAGUAUACUAACAUAAAAUGAUCCGAUAAUCGAUCAACGAACCAAGUUACCCUGGGGAUAACAGCGCAAUCCAUUUCGAGAGUUCAUAUCGACAAAUGGGUUUACGACCUCGAUGUUGGAUCAGGGUAUCCCAGUGGUGUAGAAGCUACUAAUGGUUCGUUUGUUCAACGAUUAAAACCCUACGUGAU
rnacentral:rRNA from 1 species